rnacentral:rRNA from 1 species
AGCGAACGCUGGCGGCAGGCCUAACACAUGCAAGUCGAACGCUGUAGCAAUACAGAGUGGCAGACGGGUGAGUAACGCGUGGGAACCUUCCUUACGGUACGGAAUAGCUCAGGGAAACUUGAGGUAAUACCGUAUAUUCCCUAUGGGGGAAAGAUUUAUCGCCGUAAGAUGGGCCCGCGUUGGAUUAGCUAGUUGGUGAGGUAACGGCUCACCAAGGCAACGAUCCAUAGCUGGUUUGAGAGAAUGACCAGCCACACUGGGACUGAGACACGGCCCAGACUCCUACGGGAGGCAGCAGUGGGGAAUCUUGGACAAUGGGCGCAAGCCUGAUCCAGCCAUGCCGCGUGAGUGAUGAAGGCCUUCGGGUUGUAAAGCUCUUUUGCCGGGGACGAUAAUGACGGUACCCGGAGAAUAAGCCCCGGCUAACUUCGUGCCAGCCGCCGCCGUAACAC